CCAUGGAGGCCGUUCAUGAACUCACUGUCUGUCCUGUUACGGCCAUGGAGGCCGUCCAUGAAUUCACUGCUUGUCCUGUUACGGCCAUGGAGGCCGUUCAUGAACUCACUGUCUGACCUUUCACGGCCAAGGAGGCCAUUCAAGAACUCUCUGCUUGUUCUGUCACCUUCACAAAAAGCUCCACA